rnacentral:snRNA from 1 species
GGAUGUGAGGGUGAUCUGGCUGCAACAUCUGUCACCCCAUUGAUUGUCAGGGUUGAUUCGGCUAAUCUGGCUGGCUAGGUGGGUGUCCCCUUUCUUCCUCACCACUCCAUGUGCUUCCCUCCCAAAGCUGCACGCUUGGUCGAGGAGGAUGGCCUUUGCCAAAUAUAGAUGGACCGGUCUUCCAUCGAGGAUAUAUGAGUAGCUGUGCUCCCCUGCUAGAACCUCCAUCACAAUAUCAACAGGUACAAAAUCAGAAGGGAGGAAUAAGUUCAAAACAAAACAAGUCAAGGAUGGGUUCUCCAACUUU